rnacentral:rRNA from 1 species
CCUACGUGAGGCAGCAGUGGGGAAUAUUGGUCAAUGGGCGCAAGCCUGACCCAGCAACGCCGCGUGAAGGAAGAAGGCUUUCGGGUUGUAAACUUCUUUUUUCAGGGACGUAACAAGUGACGGUACCUGAGGAAUAAGCCACGGCUAACUACGUGCCAGCAGCCGCGGUCAUACGUAGGUGGCAAUCGUUAUCCGGAUUGACUGGGUGUAAGGGGCGUGUAGGCGGGAAAGCAAGUCAGAUGUGAAAACCAUGGGCUCAACCUGUGGCCUGCAUUUGAAACUGUUUUUCUUGAGUACUGGAGAGGCAGACGGAAUUCGUAGUGUAGCGGUGAAAUGCGUAGAUAUUAGGAGGAACCCCAGUUGCGAAGGCGGUCUGCUGAACAGCAACUGACGCUGAGGCGCGAAAGCGUGGGGAGCAAACAGGAUUAGAUACCCUGGUAGUC